GACGAACGCUGGCGGCGUGCCUAAUACAUGCAAGUCGAACGCUUCUUUUUCCACCGGAGCUUGCUCCACCGGAAAAAGAGGAGUGGCGAACGGGUGAGUAACACGUGGGUAACCUGCCCAUCAGAAGGGGAUAACACUUGGAAACAGGUGCUAAUACCGCAUAAUUCCUUUUACCGCAUGGUAAAAGGCUGAAAGGCGCUUCUGGUGUCACUGAUGGAUGGACCCGCGGUGCAUUAGCUAGUCGGUGGGGUAACGGCCUACCGAGGCGAUGAUGCAUAGCCGACCUGAGAGGGUGAUCGGCCACAUUGGGACUGAGACACGGCCCAAACUCCUACGGGAGGCAGCAGUAGGGAAUCUUCGGCAAUGGACGAAAGUCUGACCGAGCAACGCCGCGUGAGUGAAGAAGGUUUUCGGAUCGUAAAACUCUGUUGUUAGAGAAGAACAGGAGAAGUAGUAACUGGCUUCUUUUUGACGGUAUCUAACCAGAAAGCCACGGCUAACUACGUGCCAGCCGCCGCCGUAACAC
rnacentral:rRNA from 1 species